GGACAUGAGAAACAUAAAAUAGCUUGCUAUGUAGAUAUCUGGAGAAAGAGUAUUCUAAACAGGGAAGAUUUCACUGUUCGUGCCUUAAGAUGUGACACACCUGGAGACACAAAAGGCAGCAAAGCAACAUGGCAGGAGCAGGGUGAACGAGUGGAAUGUUGGGAGCUUUGGAGAUGAGGUCACAGAAGUAACAACGGCCAGGUCAAGCAGGACAAAGUAUGGUGCAGAGAGAAAGAAAACAUCUAAGAUAACAACAAGGGCCUCGCAUCUUCACCAGUAGUGGAUUCCAUCUCAAGAAACUACAUUCUUCAAUCAUUUCCAUAAAAGCAAAUCCUGUUACUGUUAUAAUGCAACUCAUCUUUCAAUGACUCAUGAAGCAUAGGUGAAGAGAGACCUGCUAAGGGUGGCUAACCUGGACACUGGCUGUUUACUGUGCUUUACCCCAAACCUCAAGCUCCAAUGGUUUGGUGUGACAGCUCUUCUGGAUCAAACCUGCAUCAGUCCUAGCAUGGCUGUCUGCAUUCCUUGGCUCUGAGUCCUUCCUCCGUCUUCAAAACCUGCAACAUUGAAUCUCCGAUCCAUCUUGGGC